UACGAGGGGGGCGAGCGUUGUUCGGAAUUAUUGGGCGUAAAGGGUGCGUAGGCGGUUCGGUAAGUUUCGUGUGAAAUCUUCGGGCUCAACUCGAAGCCUGCACGAGAUACUGCCGGGCUUGAGUGUGGGAGAGGUGAGUGGAAUUUCCGGUGUAGCGGUGAAAUGCGUAGAUAUCAAGUGGAACACCAGUGGCGAAGGCGAGUCUCUGGACAUUUCCUGACGCUGAGGCACGAAAGCCAGGGGAGCAAACGGG
rnacentral:rRNA from 1 species